UCUAGUUUCAUAUUUUAACUUGCAAUCUGAUAAUAUAAAGUUUGAAAAGUUGUAAAUAUGAAGAUAAUGAGAAGAUACAUGCCUUUUCAGAUACCGGUGAAGACAGAGACGGUGGUGUGCGGUGGAAGUUAGAACGACGGUGAUGCCUUCUGUUUCUUCUUCUCUUUCUUUUUAUGUGUUUUUUAUCAGUAUUAAUCUCAGAUUUCUCCUCCCCUCUUUUUUGAAAUUUGAUAAGGUGUAUUUAUAGAGUUUUUUAUCUGUUUAGUUGCUUUCUUGCUUGUCUUUGUCCUUCUCCAUCAAGGUCCUGUUUGAUGUUUCGUUUUCUUUGCUCAUCAUCUACAUUUUUCUGCACAUUUGAUGCCUUCAUAAAUUUAGAGUAUUUGUUCUGAUCUGUUCAUUGCUGAACUUUUAUUUGUCUUUUAGUUUCUUUUUUUUUAAACUCUAAAAUUUGUCUCUUUGUUCUGCACAAUGUGUACCAAGACUGACUUAAAAAAUUAUAUUUUUAUGUUUCUCAAAUUAGUUAAAACAGGAACAGAUGUAUCAAUAAGCAUGGCUUGUGCAUCAAUGGCAGUCAUCAUCAACAUAGCAGACUUUGGCAGUGAACAAAGUCAACAUAGCAUGGCUUGAUCUGAUUUAAUUUUUACUGUAAUUUAAUUUGGC
rnacentral:lncRNA from 1 species